CCUACGGGAGGCAGCAGUGGGGAAUAUUGCACAAUGGGCGAAAGCCUGAUGCAGCGACGCCGCGUGAGGGAUGACGGCCUUCGGGUUGUAAACCUCUUUCAGUAGGGAAGAAGCGAAAGUGACGGUACCUGCAGAAGAAGCGCCGGCUAACUACGUGCCAGCAGCCGCGGUAAUACGUAGGGCGCAAGCGUUAUCCGGAAUUAUUGGGCGUAAAGAGCUCGUAGGCGGUUUGUCGCGUCUGCCGUGAAAGUCCGGGGCUCAACUCCGGAUCUGCGGUGGGUACGGGCAGACUAGAGUGAUGUAGGGGAGACUGGAAUUCCUGGUGUAGCGGUGAAAUGCGCAGAUAUCAGGAGGAACACCGAUGGCGAAGGCAGGUCUCUGGGCAUUAACUGACGCUGAGGAGCGAAAGCAUGGGGAGCGAACAGGAUUAGAUACCCUGGUAGUCCAUGCCGUAAACGUUGGGCACUAGGUGUGGGGGACAUUCCACGUUUUCCGCGCCGUAGCUAACGCAUUAAGUGCCCGCCUGGGGAGGUACGGCCGCGAGGACGAAACGUAACUAAUAGUUAAGUUAGUACGGCGUUGAGACGNGCCGACGGACGACGACGAGGGAGGAGG
rnacentral:rRNA from 1 species